CAUCAGAAGUUAGCAGAAGACCAAUUCGCGAGAGGAUUUGGCAAAUUUUGCCCUGCUGAUUACGAUCUCGACUUCCUUUUUGCUAAAUUCCGUUCAAAUUCUGGUACGGAACGGAAAACACCAAAGCUGAAAAUGUAUCUUCCCAGUCCUUGAAGAUCAGAGUCCAACCUAGAUGUCUCGAUCUCCUUGUGCAACUAGCAAAAGAAAUUUUCUGGUACUCGUACACUUGAUUGGGGGCUUGGAUUUUACUCGAGAUUACGAGAAUUUUCCUGGUUUAAGAACCUCCUGUUAGCAAUUGUGUCGUAUGUCAAUAUCGAUAUCCGUUCAGAUUAUGAAUGACUUCCGUUUCUGCAGAAUUUUCCAUCUGUAAAUCAACUGCUAGAAGUUAAGAUAAACAUUUCCUCGGAUAAAGAAAUUAUUAGCUUUGCCCACUAAAUAAAAGCAAAAAUAUGGCUCAUGAGCUUUGUGAAUCUUGAAGAUGCAGGCAAUUGGCUUCAGUAAAUUAUUAGGAAAUAAGAUCCAAGUCAAUCCAUUUUGUUUGAGACGAGGUUAACGAUUCAAGAUUUGACAAAUUUCCCAUUCCCCGAGGUACUUGGCCUGUUAGAUGAUAUAUUGGGGUGGAGAUUGGAGAGAGAAAUCUCAGACUUGAACGGAUCAUGCUGUCUUCAAAAAGGAUCGUGCGACAUGGACCACCUUCUUCAUGCUGAUCAUAUCUUGAAUUUCCUCUGUAAGAAGAGCACAAACGCAUGGAACAUCAACAUUCUUCACUAGAGCACAGCACCCAGGUGAUGGUGAAAUUCUUGGUCCUGACUUUUCUACAGAUUUUUGACAUUGUGAUACAAGACCCACAAUAUCAGUGUUACAGCUAUGGGCUGCAGCCAUUUGGCUAGAUAUUGGCAUUCCAACUGCUAUGAGUAUGGGCAAGAUCAAGCAAUACUGGAACCUACGACUUGAAACAGCCAUUUCUGGGUGCUAAGGUAUCGCCAGGAUUGUGUUAUAUAUACAGAAAACAGCCAUUAAUCACAGGGUUUUAUUGGAAAUCUGAAGAGAUUAGAGUUUUAAGUUGAGAGGCCACUUGUUAGUGAAAUGUAAGGGGUCGAUCACUAGGUAAGUAGAGAUUGUUGAGAGUUUAUACUGGCUUUUCUAACAUUUCUGAUAAUGUUCAUGUCAUCAUCGCACGAAAUCUGCACUGAUCAUUGCCAUCUGGGAAUCAUUUUAUAGUUUGUAUUUUUCUUGUUUUUGUUAUUAAUUGUUUUUUGUAACUGAAACCAAAUGAAUGAGGCUAGUCUGUCCAUUUACGAUCCAAAAGUGGCUUAGAAAGCCUGAUCUUAAUGGGCUCUGUUAUGAUCAGAGUUUCAGGGCCCAGUCUUAAUGGGCUGGGACAGUGUCUAUUUCGUGAGUCAUCAGUUGCUUUGUAAAUGUGGUGAACUGGAAUAAAUGAUGACACGUCAGUUUGCCAGUGUCAUUUCAAAA